AAGUGGCAAACGGGUGAGUAACACGUUGGUGACCUGCCCCAAAGCGGGGGAUAACCCUGGGAAACCAGGGCUAAAACCGCAGAGGUUGGAAUAUAGAGAAUUCCAACUAAAACUAAGGUGUUUUGGGAGGGGCCUGCGGGCUAUCAGCUAGUUGGUGGGGUAAAAGCCUACCAAGGCGAAGACGGCUAGGGGGCGUGAGAGCGCGACCCCCCACAAGGGAACUGAGACACGGUCCCUACUCCUACGGGAGGCAGCAGUGAGGAAUAUUGCCCAAUGGGGGAAACCCUGAGGCAGCAACGCCGCGUGAACGAUGAAGGCCUUCGGGUUGUAAAGUUCUUUUCUGCGGGAAGAUGAUGACGGUACCGCAGGAAUAAGUCCCGGCUAACUACGUGCCAGCAGCCGCGGUAAAACGUAGGGGACAAGCGUUAUCCGGAUUUACUGGGCGUAAAGCGCCCGUAGGCGGCCUGUCAAGUUGGACGUGAAAGCUCCUGGCUUAACUGGGAGAGGCCGUUCAAAACUGACAAGCUAGAGUCUGGAAGAGGAGAGCGGAAUUCCCGGUGUAGUGGUGGAAUGCGUAGAGAUCGGGAGGAACACCAGUGGCGAAAGCGGCUCUCUGGUCCAAAAC
rnacentral:rRNA from 1 species